UGGCGCUUCAUCCGGAUGGGGAGGCUGCAGUGACCCCAGGAUGGGCUUCGGUGUCAUCCGCACUCACACCCCACCCCCAGGAACAGGAGGCAACUGCACCUUUACACUGACCUGCAGGGAUCCAGGGAAUUUUCCUCCCUCUUCCCUCAGUCGAUUUGGGUCGCUCCCCAAAGACCAAGAGUCCUGCAGACCGACAAGACUGCUUGGUGAGGAGCUAUAGGGAGCUGCUCCUGGGAAACAGGCCCUGGACUAUAAGGACUUCUGCACACGUCGACUCCUGGUCACGUGAGGGUCGCGUCAUCAAUGAGCUCGAGUCCUCGGUUACUCCUCCCAUUUAACACUGCAGCCCGCCCCCUGCGUUCCCUCCAUUUGAUACUGUCAAUCUUUUUUUUCAUAUUUGCCAAUCAGAGACAAUAAAACUGGUAUCUUCUUCCUGCAGUUUCUAUUCGUCUUUCUCGGGUUACCAGGGAGAAUCAGCCUCUCGGGGUGGAUAGACAAUUUCUCCUUCUUUGGGGAAUCAUCUCUUUCUCCUGCUUCCAAUUUCACCUCCUCUCCUCCCUCCCAAGAUCCUACAGUCCACCAUUUCCCUUGAAGUCCUGUCUAGCAUUAAAAUGGGGCAAGAGGGCGGCUAGAAAAGAAUCUGGGAGUGAGAGUGUGGGAUUUUUUUUUUACUAGUUCUCUUAAAUAGUUUUCUGCUUUAAUGUUUUAAACAAUAAGCUUACCCUUUAAAAAUGAUGUUUAAAAAAGAAAUGCCACAUAAGCAAUAUUUGACACAAUAUGGAAGACAAAUUAGUUACAUCAAUUUUUAAGACUUUGGAAAAGUUUUCUGAUAGCUGCAAAUGAAAUGACAGUUUUCACAACAUACUGAUGUGUUAGAAAAUGUUUUUUUAAAUCUUAUUAAAACAGCUCCUUUUAAAACUGACGCCAAAUUAAUCGGUGGGAAGAGGCCCAGUUUUCUCUUGUUAGCAGUUGUAUGUAAGUAAUCCACUAGUUUUUCUCUUUCUGGUUAAACUCAUGUUGUAAAGUGUUAGAUGUAUGACCGUUUGUGAGGACUGCUGCAUGGCUUCUGGUUGAGUUUUAAGUGGAGGCUUCAGGCUUCCUCUUCUUACGGCCUCUGUAGGAUCCAGUGUCUUGCUAAUCAGAUGAAUCUAUAGAAAAGCCUCCUUUCCAUGGAGUCUACUUUAAUUUGAAACUCAAAAAAAAUGUGUUGGAAAAUAACUCUCACACACUCUUGGAAUACAGAAAGGAGAGAGUUCCUGAUGAGUUCUGACAGUUUGGUGUGAGGCUUUUUAGCAGUGGAAUUUUCAUUCAUGCAGGCCACUCUUGAGGUAUUCUGGUAUCAGUUUGUUCCAUGAAAAACAUACGUAAUUGUUAUAAUCGGAAAGCAGAGAGAACAUUAUUGCUGUAAAAAUAUUUGUUAUAAUCGGAAAGCAGAGAGAACAUUAUUGCUGUAAAAAUAUUGGUUAAAAGAGGAAACUGAUAUUCCUGUAACCCAGCAUCCACUGGUACUUGGAGCUAUGUUGGUACCAGGAGUGGGGUGCCAUUGCCUUCUCCACACACCUCCUUAUCCCUUCUCAAUUUACUUUGCACAUUUCUGUCAAAUUAAACUUCACUCUUCCUUAUUUUCAACUUGUCAUUCUCCUGCUCAAAGGCUCUGGAUGGCAACCCAUCUGUGAAGUAUAUCCUGCUUUUCUCAUCCUGACAUUCAAUGUUGAUAAGAAUUGAGCCACACUUGUCAUCUACUUUUCUGCCCCAUCCAAAAGGAACUCUCAUUCACUGUGCCCAAGUGUGCUCUCUUCUCUCUCUUUGUCCUUGCAUCCCAUUUUCGUCCUCCUGAUUGCACUCCUCUUGCUCCUAGAUCCUGGUCCUGCUCAUUCUUAGGGACCUAGCUCCAUCACCCAGCCUCUAAAAAGCCUCCCCAGCUGGAAGUGAGCUCUCCCUCCCCUGUCAAUGCUGCACAUAGGGUCUGCACCCCUCAUAUUGCGCUCAGCAAAGGUUGCCUUGUACCUUUCCCCUUUCCUGUGUAUUGGUGUGUAUGUUGGUGGGGUUUUCUAACCAGGCAGA
ensembl:lncRNA